rnacentral:rRNA from 1 species
CCAAUAGCGUAUAUUAAAGUUGUUGCAGUUAAAAAGCUCGUAGUUGAAUUUCAGGCCUGGCUGGACGGUCCGCCUUUUGGGUGAGUACUGUCUGUGGUCGGGUCCUACCUUCUGGCGAAGCGUCAUGGCCUUAACCGGCCGUGGCGGGGAACCAGGACUUUUACUGUGAAAAAAUUAGAGUGUUCAAAGCAGGCAAUCGCUUGGAUACAUUAGCAUGGAAUAAUGGAAUAGGACAAUGGUUCUAUUUGUUGGUUUCUAGGACCGUUGUAAUGAUUAAUAGGGAUAGUUGGGGGCAUUAGUAUUUAAUUUUCAGAGGUGAAAUUCUUGGAUUUAUUGAAGACUAACUACUGCGAAAGCCUUUGCCAAGGAUGUUUUCAUUAAUCAAUAACGAAAGUUAGUGGAUCGAAGACGAUCAGAUACCGUCGUAGUCUUAACCAUAAACUAUGCCGACUAGGAAUCGGGCGAUGUUGACAAAAUGACGCGCUCGGCACCUCAUG